CAUGUAGGCGGUCUGUCAAGCCAGGCGUGAAAGCCAGGGGCUCAACCCCUGAACUGCGCUUGGAACUGGCGGACUGGAGUCGCUGAGGGGGAACCGGGAAUUCCUGGUGUAGGGGUGAAAUCUGUAGAUAUCAGGAAGAACACCGAUGGCGAAGGCAGGUUUCCAGCAGACGACUGACGCUGAGGUGCGAAGGUGCGGGGAGCAGACA
rnacentral:rRNA from 1 species